rnacentral:rRNA from 1 species
CCUACGGGAGGCAGCAGUGAGGAAUAUUGGUCAAUGGGCGCGAGCCUGAACCAGCCAAGUCGCGUGAGGGAAGACGGUCCUAUGGAUUGUAAACCUCUUUUGUCGGGGAGCAAAAGACGCCACGCGUGGCGUUCCGAGAGUACCCGAAGAAAAAGCAUCGGCUAACUCCGUGCCAGCAGCCGCGGUAAUACGGAGGAUGCGAGCGUUAUCCGGAUUUAUUGGGUUAAAAGGGUGCGCAGGCGGAAGAUCAAGUCAGCGGGAAAAUUGAGAGGCUCAACCUCUUCGAGCCGUUGAAACUGGUUUUCUUGAGUGAGCGAGAAGUAUGCGGAAUGCGUGGGGUAGCGGUGAAAUGCAUAGAUAUCACGCAGAACUCCGAUUGCGAAGGCAGCAUACCGGCGCUCAACUGACGCUCAGGCACGAAAGUGUGGGUAUCGAACAGGAUUAGAUACCCGAGUAGUC